rnacentral:rRNA from 1 species
GACGUAGGGCGCGAGCGUUGUCCGGAUUUAUUGGGCGUAAAGAGCUCGUAGGCGGCUUGUUGCGUCGACCGUGAAAACCCGUGGCUUAACUGCGGGCUUGCGGUCGAUACGGGCGGGCUGGAGUUCGGUAGGGGAGACUGGAAUUCCUGGUGUAGCGGUGAAAUGCGCAGAUAUCAGGAGGAACACCGGUGGCGAAGGCGGGUCUCUGGGCCGUAACUGACGCUGAGGAGCGAAAGCGUGGGGAGCGAACAGG